rnacentral:rRNA from 1 species
GAUCUAAGUGAGUGGCGGACGGGUGAGUAACACGUGGGUAACCUGCCCAGAAGUGGGGGAUAACAUUUGGAAACAAGUGCUAAUACCGCAUAACAACAUUAAACACAUGUUUUUUGUUUAAAAGAUGGUUUUGCUAUCUCUUCUGGAUGGACCCGCGGCGUAUUAGCUAGUUGGUGAGGUAAUAGCUCACCAAGGCGAUGAUACGUAGCCGACCUGAGAGGGUAAUCGGCCACAUUGGGACUGAGACACGGCCCAAACUCCUACGGGAGGCAGCAGUAGGGAAUCUUCCACAAUGGACGAAAGUCUGAUGGAGCAAUGCCGCGUGAGUGAAGAAGGUUUUCGGAUCGUAAAACUCUGUUGUUGAAGAAGAACAUAUGUGAGAGUAACUGUUCACGUACUGACGGUAUUCAACCAGAAAGCCACGGCUAACUACGUGCCAGCAGCCGCGGUAAUACGUAGGUG